UACGAAGGGGGCUAGCGUUGUUCGGAUUUACUGGGCGUAAAGCGCGUGUAGGCGGGUCUUUAAGUCAGGGGUGAAAUGCCAAGGCUCAACCUUGGAACUGCCUUUGAUACUGGAGACCUUGAGUCCGGGAGAGGUGAGUGGAAUUCCGAGUGUAGAGGUGAAAUUCGUAGAUAUUCGGAAGAACACCAGUGGCGAAGGCGGACUCACUGGACCGGCAUUGACGCUGAGGUGCGAAAGCGUGGGAGCAACAGGG
rnacentral:rRNA from 1 species